rnacentral:rRNA from 1 species
CAGCACCUCAAGUGGUCAGGAUGAUUAUUGGGCCUAAAGCAUCCGUAGCCGGCGCUGUAAGUUUUCGGUUAAAUCUGUACGCUCAACGUACAGGCUGCCGGGAAUACUGCAGCGCUAGGGAGUGGGAGAGGUAGACGGUACUCGGUAGGAGGGGGUAAAUCCUUUGAUCUAUUGAUGACCACCUGUGGCGAAGGCGGUCUACCAGAACACGUCCGACGGUGAGGGAUGAAAGCUGGGGGAGCAAACCGGAUUAGAUACCCGAGUAGUCC